AUACGUAGGGCGCAAGCGUUGUCCGGAAUUAUUGGGCGUAAAGAGCUCGUAGGCGGCUUGUCACGUCGGAUGUGAAAGCCCGGGGCUUAACCCCGGGUCUGCAUUCGAUACGGGCAGGCUAGAGUGUGGUAGGGGAGAUCGGAAUUCCUGGUGUAGCGGUGAAAUGCGCAGAUAUCAGUAGGAACACCGGUGGCGAAGGCGGAUCUCUGGGCCAUUACUGACGCUGAGGAGCGAAAGCGUGGGGAGCGAACAGGAUUAGAUACCCUGGUAGUCCACGCCGUAAACGUUGGGAACUAGGUGUUGGCGACAUUCCACGUCGUCGGUGCCGCAGCUAACGCAUUAAGUUCCCCGCCUGGGGAGUACGGCCGCAAGGCUAAA
rnacentral:rRNA from 1 species